rnacentral:rRNA from 1 species
AUGCUGCCUCUGCCUGCUCAAGACACUGGCAAAGUCGCGUGGCCGAAGGCAGUCCCAACAGGUGGCUGCACUACGACAAGCGGGAAUGGCGAUGACCGCUACAUCUUCCGCGGCUACCGUGAGAGGUUGUGGGCUGCGUCGAGGGCUCUACUGCGAUGGCGAUCUGAUGAUGAAGCAGAUGAGGAGCUGCUCGAGCAGGCGAUGAUGAAGGCGAGCAUCGGCACGAUGGGGUUGGCGGAGCGUGCAGAUGAAGCUGCAGCGGCAAGUCUCGUGGCUGAAAUACAACGACAUAGAGUGGAGCAUCUGGUAGAUACAUCGUCUUUAGAUUGCUUGUUUAUUUGCUGA